rnacentral:rRNA from 1 species
GCCUGGGAACCGGGUCUAAUACCGGAUACGACCGAUCACCGCAUGGUGGUUGGUGGAAAGAUUUAUCGGUCUUGGAUGGACUCGCGGCCUAUCAGCUGGUUGGUGGGGUAAUGGCCUACCAAGGCGACGACGGGUAGCCGGCCUGAGAGGGUGACCGGCCACACUGGGACUGAGACACGGCCCAGACUCCUACGGGAGGCAGCAGUGGGGAAUAUUGCACAAUGGGCGCAAGCCUGAUGCAGCGACGCCGCGUGAGGGAUGACGGCCUUCGGGUUGUAAACCUCUUUCAGUAGGGAAGAAGCGAAAGUGACGGUACCUGCAGAAGAAGCGCCGGCUAACUACGUGCCAGCAGCCG